rnacentral:misc_RNA from 1 species
UCCGGUUUGUCACCGGCAGUCUCGCAUGAGUCCCCAACUAAAUGCUGGCAACAUGCGACGGGGGUUGCGCUCGUUGCGGGACUUAACCCAACAUCUCACGACACGAGCUGACGACAGCCAUGCACCACCUGUGAAAGUGCCCCGAAGGGAGACCGUGUUUCCACGGCUGUCACUCACAUGUCAAACCCAGGUAAGGUUCUUCGCGUUGCAUCGAAUUAAUCCACAUAAUCCACCGCUUGUGCGGGUCCCCGUCAAUUCCUUUGAGUUUUAGCCUUGCGGCCGUACUCCCCAGGCGGGGCACUUAAUGCGUUAGCUGCGACACCGCAGGGGUCAACACCCGCGACAUCUAGUUCCCAUCGUUUACGGCGUGGACUAC